CUUUCGGAUUGGACUUUGGCAGCUGGCAACAGCAGCUAGGGACUAAAAAGUCAUCCAAACUUGGUCAUUUAGAGGAAGUAAAAGUCGUAACAAGGUUUCCGUAGGUGAACCUGCGGAAGGAUCAUUCAUAAUAAGUGUUUUAUGGCACUUUUUAAAUCCAUAUCCACCUUGUGUGCAAUGUCAGUCGAUCUUCUUCAUGGAGAUCGACCAAACAUCAACCUUUAUUUUUUAACUCUUUGUCUGAAAAAUAUUAUGAAUAAACAAUUCAAAAUACAACUUUCAACAACGGAUCUCUUGGCUCUCGC
rnacentral:misc_RNA from 1 species